AGGACGAACGCUGGCGGCGUGCUUAACACAUGCAAGUCGAGCGGUAAGGCCUUUCGGGGUACACGAGCGGCGAACGGGUGAGUAACACGUGGGUGAUCUGCCCUGCACUCUGGGAUAAGCCUGGGAAACUGGGUCUAAUACCGGAUAUGACCUGCUCUCGCAUGGGGGUGGGUGGAAAGAUUUAUCGGUGCAGGAUGGGCCCGCGGCCUAUCAGCUUGGUUGGUGGGUAAUGGCCUACCAAGGCGACGACGGGUAGCCGACCUGAGAGGGUGACCGGCCACACUGGGACUGAGACACGGCCCAGACUCCUACGGGAGGCAGCAGUGGGGAAUAGUUGCACAAGUGGGACGAAAGCCUGAUGCAGCGACGCCGCGUGAGGAUGAAGGCCUUACGGGUUGUAACC
rnacentral:rRNA from 1 species